UCCACAGUGAUGCCUGGGACCCAGCUGAGAUCUCCAUCAUCUCUCAAAACAACUGUGCACUGACCUCCUGACCUAAGCCCAGCCUCUGCCCACUCAGACUGACCUUCACGCAGCUGCACAAUGCUGCAUUUGGAAGCCGGACCUGACCACAUUCGUUUCCCUCUGUUGAGAUUCAUGUUCUGGAGAAAUGAAAAUGCUGUCUCAGUGGAAUGUUGAUUAGCUGGAGUGGAGACCCAAGAUCUCUGUCCAGGCAGGGCCAUCAACUAGAGGUGGCCCUGUGAUUGAUGAGUGACCAGCCAUGUGUGGAGAAAAGCAAUGUGAACAACUUCUGACUUCGCUGUUAAAGAAAAUUGGAUGGUGCCUUUAGAGAUUCUGAUGAAACGACUCAAAUGCUCAACGAUAUGGAGAAGGACCAAAGGUAAUU
ensembl:lncRNA LINC00487 long intergenic non-protein coding RNA 487